rnacentral:rRNA from 1 species
AGUGAGCGGCGGACGGGUGAGUAACACGUGGGCACCCUGCCCUGAAGCGGGGGAUAACAUUUGGAAACAGGUGCUAAUACCGCAUAACAACGAAAACCACAUGGUUUUCGUUUCAAAGAUGGUUUCGGCUAUCACUUCAGGAUGGGCCCGCGGUGCAUUAGCUUGUUGGUAGGGUAACGGCCUACCAAGGCAAUGAUGCAUAGCCGAGUUGAGAGACUGAUCGGCCACAAUGGAACUGAGACACGGUCCAUACUCCUACGGGAGGCAGCAGUAGGGAAUCUUCCACAAUGGGCGCAAGCCUGAUGGAGCGACACCGCGUGAGUGAAGAAGGGUUUCGGCUCGUAAAGCUCUGUUGUUGAAGAAGAACGUGCGUGAGAGUAACUGUCCACGCAGUGACGGUAUUCAACCAGAAAGUCACGGCUAACUACGUGCCAGCAGCCGCGGUAAUACGUAGGUGGCAAGCGUUAUCCGGAUUUAUUGGGCGUAAAGCGAGCGCGGGCGGUUGCUUAAGUCUGAUGUGAAGGCCUUCGGCUUAACCGAAGAAGUGCAUCGGAAACUGAGCGACUUGAGUGCAGAAGAGGACAGUGGAACUCCAUGUGUAGCGGUGGAAUGCGUAGAUAUAUGGAAGAACACCAGUGGCGAAGGCGGCUGUCUGGUCUGC